rnacentral:rRNA from 1 species
CUUUACUGUAGCCUGGUAUUGGGUUCGGGCUUUGACUGCGCAGGAUAGGUGGGAGACUAUGAAGCUGCCCUUGUGGGGGCAGUGGAGUCAUCAGUGAGAUACCACUCUGUCAAGGCUAGAAUUCUAACCGUCUGCCGUUAUCCGGCGACGGAACAGUAUCAGGUGGGCAGUUUGACUGGGGCGGUCGCCUCCUAAAUGGUAACGGAGGCGCGCAAAGGUUCCCUCAGGCUGGUUGGAAAUCAGCCGAAGAGUGUAAAGGCAGAAGGGAGCUUGACUGCAAGAGCAACAACUCAAGCAGGGACGAAAGUCGGCCUUAGUGAUCCGACGGCGCAGCGUGGAAUGGCCGUCGCUCAACGGAUAAAAGUUA